GCGUGCCAGACCAGAAACAACUCCGCUCCAGAGAGAGUAAAGACGCAAAGAUGAAGGUGUCGUACGUGGCUGCUUUCCUCAUAGGGCUCCUCUCCCUGGCGAGCACCAGAGCAGCUCCAUUGGCUGAUGGAGGAUCUGGAGGGGGCGUUUCUGUUCCUAGACGAUUUAGACAGAGAAUGUCUGUGA